rnacentral:tRNA from 1 species
GAAUAUUACUCAGUGGUAGAGUGCUUGCCUUGCAUGCAUGAAGACCUGGGUUCGAUUCCUCGGAAGUUCA